rnacentral:rRNA from 1 species
UACGGAGGGAGCUAGCGUUGUUCGGAAUUACUGGGCGUAAAGCGCGCGUAGGCGGCUUUGUAAGUUAGAGGUGAAAGCCCGGGGCUCAACCCCGGAACUGCCUUUAAGACUGCAUCGCUUGAAUCCGGGAGAGGUGAGUGGAAUUCCGAGUGUAGAGGUGAAAUUCGUAGAUAUUCGGAAGAACACCAGUGGCGAAGGCGGCUCACUGGACCGGCAUUGACGCUGAGGAGCGAAAGCCAGGGGAGCAAACGGG